rnacentral:rRNA from 1 species
GACGAACGCUGGCGGCGUGCUUAACACAUGCAAGUCGAACGAAGUGGCGAACGGGUGAGUAACGCGUAAUCAACCUGCCCUUCAGAGGGGGACAACAGUUGGAAACGACUGCUAAUACCGCAUACUGAAGGAGGGGAGUGCGUCGGAUUAGCUAGUUGGAGGGGUAACGGCCCAACAAGGCGAUGAUCAGUAGCCGGUCUGAGGGGGUGAACCGCCAAAUUGGGACUGGUACACGGCCCAGACUCCUAAGGGAGGCAGCAGUGGGGGAUCUUCCGCAAUGGACGAAAGUCUGACGGCGCAACGCCGCGUGAGUGAUGACGGCCUUCGGGUUGUGAAACUCUGUUAAUCGGGACGCGGUACCGGAAUAGAAAGCAACGGCUAACUACGUGCCAGCAGCCGCGGUAAUUC